rnacentral:rRNA from 1 species
CAAUAGCGUAUACUAACGUUGUUGCAGUUAAAAGCUCGUAGUUGGAUUUCUGUUGUGGUGAGUCGGCCGGCUCUUCGGAGUUGUAGCUAGAUUUCAUUGCAGCAUCUUGUCGUAAUCUCCACUGGCAUUUAUUUGUUGGUGUGAGGGACCGACUCGUUUACUUUGAGAAAAUUAGGAUGUUCAAAGUGGGCUAUCGCCUUGAAUAUAUUAGCAUGGAAUAAUAAUAUAGGACUUUUGGUUCUAUUUUGUUGGUGUUCGAGAACCAAAGUAAUGAUUGAUAGGGACGGUUGGGGGCGAUCAGUAUUCUGAAGCGAGAGGUGAAAUUCUUGGACCUUCGGAAGACUAACAGCUGCGAAAGCGUUUGCCUAGGAUGUUCUCUUUAAUCAAGAACGAAGGUUGGGGAGUCGAAGACGAUCAGAUACCA